rfam:Metarhizium robertsii ARSEF 23 MAA_Scf_11, whole genome shotgun sequence.
ACAUACGACCAUAGCCGCUAGAUCAUCAAAUCACGAUCCCGUCCGAUCUCGUACGAUAAACUAGCGAGCGCUAGAUUAGUAGUUGGGUCGGUGACGACCAGCGAAUACCUAGUGUUGUAUGUU